rnacentral:rRNA from 1 species
GUGGGGAAUCUUCCGCAAUGGACGAAAGUCUGACGGAGCAACGCCGCGUGAGUGAAGAAGGUUUUCGGAUCGUAAAGCUCUUUCGUUAGGGACGAACGUGCUCUUUGUGAAUAAUGAGGAGUAAUGACGGUACCUAAAUAAGAAGCCACGGCUAACUACGUGCCAGCAGCCGCGGUAAUACGUAGGUGGCAAGCGUUGUCCGGAAUUAUUGGGCGUAAAGCGCGCGCAGGCGGGAUAUCAAGUCUGUCUUAAAAGUGCGAGGCUCAACCUCGUGAGGGGACAGAAACUGGUAUUCUUGAGGGUCAGAGAGGAAAGUGGAAUUCCAAGUGUAGCGGUGAAAUGCGUAGAGAUUUGGAAGAACACCAGUGGCGAAGGCGACUUUCUGGACGAUGUCUGACGCUGAGGCGCGAAAGCUAGGGGAGCGAACGGGAUUAGAAACCCCGGUAGUCC